UCAUUGAUGGAAUAAACGCCCUCACAGGCGCUACCCAUAAACCCUUUGUGAAUACUACCUAAAAAUGUUGCCUCGGCAUUGGUUGGCCUCCUUUGGAGGUCCCUUCUCUGUAGGGAAGGAGCAGACCGGCCGGUGGCCCUAUAAACUCUUUUUUUUUUGUAAUAUCUUCUGAGUAAAACAACUAAAAUGAAUCAAAACUUUCAACAACGGAUCUCUUGGUUCUGGCAUCGAUGAAGAACGCAGCGAAAUGCGAUAAGUAAUGUGAAUUGCAGAAUUCAGUGAAUCAUCGAAUCUUUGAACGCACAUUGCGCCCGGUGGUAUUCCACCGGGCAUGCCUGUUCGAGCGUCAUUUCAACCCUCAAAGCCCUUUGCUUUGGUGUUGGAGGAAUACCCUGUAAAACGGGUACCCUCUGAAAUUUAGUGGCGGGCUCGCUAGAAUUUUGAGCGUAGUAAUUUUACCUCGUUUUUAAAGACUAGUGGGACUUCUUGCCGUAAAACCCCCCAACUUUCUGA
rnacentral:rRNA from 1 species